rnacentral:siRNA from 1 species
UGACACCAAAACUGAUUCAGGA